rnacentral:rRNA from 1 species
UACGAAGGGGGCUAGCGUUGCUCGGAAUCACUGGGCGUAAAGCGCACGUAGGCGGAUUUCUAAGUCAGGGGUGAAAUCCUGGAGCUCAACUCCAGAACUGCCUUUGAUACUGGGAAUCUCGAGUCCGGGAGAGGUGAGUGGAACUGCGAGUGUAGAGGUGAAAUUCGUAGAUAUUCGCAAGAACACCAGUGGCGAAGGCGGCUCACUGGCCCGGUACUGACGCUGAGGUGCGAAAGCGUGGGGAGCAAACAGGG